UACGGAGGGUGCAAGCAUUGAUCGGAAUUACUGGGCGUAAAGGGCGCGUAGGCGGCUUUGAAAGUCGGAUGUGAAAUUCCGGGGCUCAACCCCGGAGCUGCAUUUGAAACUCCAGAGCUAGAGUACAGUUAGGGUAAACGGAAUUCCACGUGUAGCGGUGAAAUGCGUAGAUAUGUGGAAGAACACCAGUGGUGAAGACGGUUUACUGGGCUGUAACUGACGCUGAGGCGCGAAAGCUAGGGGAGCAAACAGG
rnacentral:rRNA from 1 species